rnacentral:tRNA from 1 species
UAGAUAGAUGCUCGCUGGUUUGGGCGCUUAGCUGUUAACUAAGAAUUUGUAGGAUCGAGGCCUACCUAUCUAG